rnacentral:rRNA from 1 species
CUACGGGCGGCAGCAGGCGAGAAAACUUUGCAAUGUGCGAAAGCACGACAAGGUUAAUCCGAGUGGUUUGUGCUAAACGAACCUUUUGACAGUCCUAGAAACACUGUUGAAUAAGGGGUGGGCAAGUUCUGGUAGUCAGCCGCCGCGGUAAAACCAGCACCUCAAGUGGUCAGGAUGAUUAUUGGGCCUAAAGCAUCCGUAGCCGGCUCUGUAAGGUUUCGGUUAAAUCUGUACGCUCAACGUACAGGCUGCCGGGAAUACUGCAGAGCUAGGGAGUGGAGAGGUAGACGGUACUCGGUAGGAAGGGGUAAAAUCCUUUGAUCUAUUGAUGACCACCUGUGGCGAAGGCGGUCUACCAGAACACGUCCGACGGUGAGGGAUGAAAGCUGGGGGAGCAAACCGGAUUAGAUACCCGCGUAGUC